GCGGCCCUGGCGGAACAGGCAGACGCGCAGCGUUGAGGACGCUGUGGGGCAACCCGUGACAGUUCGAUCCUGUCGGGCCGCACCA
rnacentral:tRNA from 1 species